UAUUAUGGUCAUAUAAUGUUGAAAGCAUCAGUUGUCAUCCAGUCACUGAAGUUAAGCCACGUUGAAACUAGUGAGUACUUAGAUAGGUGACCACUUGGGAAACCUAGGUACUGUAAGCG
rnacentral:rRNA from 1 species